UAACAACUCACCUGCCGAAUGAAUUAGCCCUGAAAAUGGAUGGCGCUCAAGCGGGCAGCCGACACUACACCAUCUAAGCUAGCUAUGUCUUAGAUGAGUAGGAGGAACGUGGCGGUUGUGUAGAAGCAUAUCCGCAAGGAUGUGUGGAACGGCCGCUAGUGCAGAUCUUGGUGGUAGUAGCAAAUAUUCAAAUGAGAUCCUUGAAGGACCAAGCGGGGAAGGGUUCCACGCGAACAUUGAUUGAGCGUGGGUUAGUCGGUCCUAAGCCAACUGGCAAUUGCUUGCCAUCGGCGAAAGGGAAGCAGGUAAAGAUUCCUGCACUUGGGCAACGAUGUUUACACACUUCCUAAAUCCAAGCUGUCCCAGAGAUGCUGCGGUAGUAGUCCCCUUGCAGAGAUUUCUUUUCUGUUUGACGCCACUCCGAUCCUGAAACCCAUUUGCUGGGAGUAGGGAUUGAUUUUAGAAAGUGGUAGAGCAUUGGAUAUAUUUCCUAUGUUAGGGUUGAUUCCUGCAGACCUUGAAAAUCCGGGCGCACCUGAGUUCGGUUUACCGUUCCAGGGGAUUUGUAUUCAUUUAUCCCAAACCGUACCCAUGACCGCAUCAGGUCCCCAAGGUGAACAGCCUCUGUCCAAUAUGAAUAAU
rnacentral:rRNA from 1 species